rnacentral:lncRNA from 1 species
UGUGCUGCAUGCCAACACAUAAAUUUCAAGAAAAGGGAUGCAUGCCAACGAUGCAGCUGCCCUAAAUAUGCAACACCGGCUGAUGUUGCCAUGUAUGGACUAAACAAAACAGAAGUCUUAGCCGGAGACUGGUAUUGCAGUGCCAUGAUCUGUGGCUCUCACAACUAUGCGAGUCGAACAAACUGCUAUAGAUGUGGUGCCUUAAAAAGCGAUUAUUAUGGUAUCGGAGCAGGAAUGAUGGGAUCAGCCGGUUAUGGAUAUGAUGCAAGUUCUGUUCCUGGUUGGAAGAGUGGUGAUUGGAUUUGCAGCAGGUUAGUUCACAUUUACUUUCAUUCUGCAGAUAGACUUACUUUACUACAACAAAAAUUAACCUAAGAAAGAUGCUUGGCUAUAUGAAUCCUCACUGUUCAUGUUAAUCCACUUCACUUCAUCUCAAUUCUAUAUUACAACAACUAUUCCUCAAUCCCAAGCAAGUUGGGGUUAGCUAUAUGAAUCCUUACGGACCAUGUUGCUCCAUUUAAGUUCAUCGCUGACCAAUCUUAUACAAAAUAAAAAUAAAAAAUUGACUAAAACUCCUGAAAAUAUUGUAUUGUGAUGAUUCAUUGGAAUUGACUAGUUUUACAUUGGUUGUCUGUCUGCAGCAACCGUCUUCCUUUAUCUGGUGCUUGCGAUAGGCAAUGUGAGCAAGCCUGGUUCCGGUCCAAUAUUAUAUGAAACAAAAAUUAAUAAUACAAAUGAAAAAGUACUAGCACUUCUCUAUAUUUACUACUGAAAUAUGCAUGUGCCUUUAUCCAAGGGAUCUUAACUGAGGAUUCAUCAGAAGAUUGACUAGUUUUACGCUGACUGUUAGCCUGCCACGAAUCUCCUUUGGGAUUUUAACUGAAAUAAUUUCCUUGUUGUUUGACAGAUUAGGAUGUGGUGUACACAACUAUGCAAGCAGAGCAGAAUGUUACAAGUGCAAGACACCUAGAAAUUUUGGUGAGCCAUCUUUCAUGUGAUUCUGAUACUUCAUAGUCGACAUUUUACUUUGCAACACCAUUUUUCAUUUACUAACAUCUUGUUCGUUUCUCUAUUUUUCAGGAGGUGAUCUGAGAGAAAGCAAUUUAUAUUGAGGGACGCGGCAACACUAAGCUAUUACUGAAGUACCAGAAGUCAUAAACUUCAGUGAUCUUUCUUAUUUUCCUUUUAGUUUUCUUUUCUUCUUUUGUUUAACAGUUUUUAGUAGCAUGUCCUUAUAGUUGUUCAAAGAAGGGUUUCUAGUUCUGACUGUAUUGUAACUGUGCAAAGUGUUCAAUGAAUGAAAUCCCUUCAGAUUUUGCAUUCUUUCUGUCUUUCAAGUUUCAACAAUUGUUGUUGUGGGGGUGGUCCAAUGAAUAACAUUAUGUAGCCACACAAUCACUAUGGAAGACAAUGCUAGAUUAGACUCGAACUUAUAUAUGUAUGAAAAGGAUAAACGAAAGCAUGUAUACAAAGAACCAGACCUACUGACUCUAAAUCCUAAAUCCGAUGUUGUUGGCUUAGAUGAGUCUUCCCAGCUUCCUUUAAACAACAAGAAAUGCAUCUCAAAUUCAAAGUAGUUGAUCCUCGCUUCCAUUUUGGGACAUUUGCGUUUCACUCCAUCUUGAGGAGGAAAAAGCAAAAGAAAUCGUCGCUCUUUUGCCUUAAGAGGAAAAUAAAAAGAAAUUUCUUUGUAUGUGUGAGAGUAAGGGGUGGUGGUGCUGGUUUGUACAACUUGUGCUCAAUACAUUGUCCCAAUAAUGAAUGUUCCUUAAGUGCACAAUGUUCUUGGUUCUGUACACUCACACAAAUGGCAAGCUGCAGCUUUUGCAGUUGGCACUACAAGUAGUUCUGCCAUACUGUUAGGCUGUUACAACAUAUGUGACUAAACAUUUGUAAAUUGUCUAGGUUCUACUUAGCAAGUGGAUGUAUAACUACGAUUGGAACUAUUGAUGGUGUCAUAACCUUUAGCCUGUGGGACAAACACUAUCACUUUUGCUACAAAAUUCCCCAGCCCAAAAUAGGGUAGUGGUCAUUGUUAUUAGCAGUUUUGACUGGAAGAUCAUAAAAAACAAAAAGCGAUGUGGAUAAGGCAAUCGUUUAUGUUGGACUAAACCAGCCCAAGAUACUCUUAAUAUGGUGUGAUAUUGUCUGCUUUGGGCCAAGCCUGCACGGUUUUCCCAAAAGGUCUCGCACUAUUAAGAGAUCCAUAUACCUUACAUGUAGGUUCCCAAUCUUUUUGGACUUAAUCGCACACCAAAAAAUCUCCCCCUUGAACUAAGUUCCACAUGGCGCAUCACCACAAUCCACCAUCUCCCCCUCGAACUAAGUUCCACGUGGCCUAUUACCACAAUUCGCAGCUCAAUUUCGGAGAUUAAACGAGUGUUACCCACAUUGUUAGAGUAUUUACGGCAAACAAAGUCCGCAACUAGCUUCAUCUUUGUGCGCGCAUCUCCAAACUCUUAAGGGUAAGAAAAUUAAGCCCCGCACCAUCACUUAGCCAUCGUUAUACUCGUCCCGCUGAACCUGGGCUUUGAUAUCAGUUGUUUAGCGAAAACAACCCAAAGAUACUCUUAACAAUUUACUUAUGUGUUCUAAAUAUUCUUAAUUUAUCGAUCAACAGAUGAAGUCAUCAAGUCUUAAUAUGUAGAUGAAAGAAAUGUUGCACGGACUCUCCAAAAUAUUGUCGCACCCGCCUCAAAUUCUCCAACAAUGCACUACUUUUGAAGGAUUCGGCACGCAUCUGGAGACAUUUUUGAAUCCGAGCUGAAGGAUUGCAUAUAAGUGUUCAUAACAUGCAGCGGAAGACAAUAAUAAUCCUAGGCAGAUCUUUUAGUGUUUAAAAUUUAUUUACAUGUCAAUAGAUUGGAUCUAAGACGUACCUGGUGAAGAAAGUCUCAUUUCAAAUUCUUUGAUAGUGCGAAGACUCUAUGCGUAUCCACAUCGAGACUGAUCCUUGUUAUCAACUGUUUGAUCAAUGAAACCCUCGAACAAAUUGUACGAAGAAUAUUGUGUUGAAAUUUUUCUCAAAAAUUUCAACUCAAAUUAGAACAACAUGAAACAUUUUUUUUGUAAUUGUAUUUUUUCUCUUGGCUUUGUAUUGCACUUUCACUUUCACAAAGUGUUUUUCUUCUCAAGAAAUUAAUAAUGGCAAAUUUUUUUCCAUCACCCUUUAUAUAGCAUCACCUAUAAAUCCUUUUCCUAUUUGAUUGAGGUAAUGAUUUACUUAGUGUAAAAGUUUAUUAUGGAACAAUUAAGUAAAAAUUUGCAGUCUCAUUCUAAAUGGGUUAUGCCCGUCAACAUGCUUCAUGGACUAUGUACGUGACUUAGCCAAUUCUAGAGUCGUUUAUAAUUCAUGACAGCAUGAAGCUUAAACUCAUUACCAAGAGUUGACAGAUUCCAUCUUGAUCAAUCACUAAUUCUACNNNNNNNNNNNNNNNNNNNNNNNNNNNNNNNNNNNNNNNNNNNNNNNNNNNNNNNNNNNNNNNNNNNNNNNNNNNNNNNNNNUCAAUCACUAAUUCUACAAGCAUUUAAUCGUACCCAAUAUCCUUUCAACUAUCGCCCUAGGGCCAUAGGUGUCUAGUAUCAAAGCACAAUAAAUAACUUGCCAAUUCUACGACGAUCUCAGGUCAAAGAAAAUUUUUACAUCACAUUCUUCAAGAUAAUAUUCUAUUGACAGUUUAUGAUAAUUCUAACAAUUAGGAAUUAUCCAAUGAAUCGGUUCAAAUGACCAUAUCUCUAUAUGCAUCAUCUAUCUAUGUAAUUUAGUUAAUGAGAUCAAACUAAUCUUUAUCUCAUAAAGACGAUCACGUAAAUAUUGAUCUAACCAGAUUACUAAUGUCCAUAUUAAUAAUCCUACGAUCAAGAAAAAAAAUGGAUUAAACUAUAAGAAACUUUACACCCAUUAUCAUGAUCUCCAUCACGUUAACAAGUCUCAAAAUUUAGUCAAGGACCUUAUCAAAUUAAUCAAACAAUUAAUAACAAUGAUAAAAGAAUAUCAAAUGCCAUAUAUAUUUUAUAUGAAAUAACGUCCAUAAAAAUAUGUUCAAAUCAUCAAAUAUGAUAUUGGAUCUAGGGCAUAUCUACUAUAUCCCUAACAUAAGCAAAAUAGGAUGAAAGCAAACCACAAAAAGCCUUUGCAAAAGGAGCACUGUUGCAUGCUAAUAAACUUGAUUUGAGUUGAUAUUUAACUUCAUGUUCUGAUGUAGAAACUCUGAAAAAAGGGGUUGCUCUGAUGGUAAGCAGCCCCCACUUCCAACCGAGAGGUUGUGAGUUCGAGUCUCCNNNNNNNNNNNNNNNNNNNNNNNNNNNNNNNNNNNNNNNNNNNNNNNNNNNNNNNNNNNNNNNNNNNNNNNNNNNNNNNNNNNNNNNNNNNNNNNNNNNNNNNNNNNNNNNNNNNNNNNNNNNNNNNNNNNNAGGGAGUCUAUUUGGAAACAGCCUCUCUACCCCAGGAUAGGGGUAAGGUCUGUGUAUACACUAUCCUUCCCAGACUUCACUAAGUGGGAUUAUACUGGGUUGUUGUUGUUGUUCUAAUGUAGAAACUAUAAAGUAAGCUACAUAGAUGAUAGAAAGGCAUGUAGGAGUGAUAUCUGGCUUGAGUUUGAGAUAAAUUAGGCAACUGCAGUAAUUAGUAAUUGAGAUUAGAUAGAUUGUGAAUGCUAAAAAGAAUUAUUAGCUAGUUUCUUGCCACCUAUAACCAAGAUUGUGGAGCAUCUGUGAAGAAGUCAAAGGAGAAAAGCUCCUGGCCUCUGAUUCUUUUGUAGCUGUGGCUACUCGUCGCUGCAUUGCUUGAAAAUCAAUAAUUGACUUACUUUUAUGAGAUGCUUCUUACAUUGAGCAAUCCAAUCAUUAAACAAAAUGAACAUAAAUAUCCAAAUAACGCGUCCCUGCACAGUUAUUUGGAUGCUGAAGAUGGACAAGAAAGACAAGUCAUCGGUGGGGCACUACAAGGGCUAGCCCUUUCUACGAUUCUUGUUUUGCCACUACUGGUGAUCUUAUUUAGAACCCUUUAUUCUGAUAAGAUAUAAGAGAGCAUAAACUCAGCUGUCAAACCGAGAUCUUGCUAAAGUAGUGGAGAACCCCUGCUAAAUCCAUUCUAUGCAUUCUUUUGACUAUAAUGAACACAUCUAUACAAUCAUUCUUCUUAAUUUUGUGGUCACAAUCAUCAAUGUCGUUAAUAUUGGAUGAGUUGUUUCCUUUUUCAGAUAACUCAUUGUAUAGAUAAGAAGAAUAUAUCUUAAUUAAGCACUAUUAGCGAAAGAAGCACUAGCUAAAACUUACCUUCUGACAGCACAAUAGUAAUAUGCAAAAUUCAAAAGCAACGGCUAUUUCUAUCAUUACCGAUAGGAUGUAGAUUCUGGCAAGUAUUAUUGAGGAGGAUUGGCCCCCUUUAUAGAAUGGUCACAUAUAUAGAAUAAAGGAUGGAACUUUGGCUGAGGUUUUCUUAUCCAGAAUAUUCAUCUUGUCUGGUUAAAAAUGGUGAUUAGGAUUCCACCUUAUCAAAUCCUAUGCCAACACGUGAGCUUCAGUGCUUAGGUGGAAUCAGCUACGUUUGCCAUGUCAGCGUUCACGGUCCCAAUAACUGGUCAAGAGACUUCAACUCAUUGUCAAUCUCGGAUUAAUCUUGAUUUGCUCAAAUAUGAACACCAUGUUAUGUGUUUGUAUGAGAGGCCUGGAUUUUUUUCUGUGACUCAUCAAUGACCGUAGAUUGUGUAAUAUUCACUCAUUUCUUGCCACUUGUAACUGUGCGAACAGUUUGUCAAUUCUUGGAUCUUUGAUUGAAAACUCUUACCAAUGCAUAAUAAACUGUCCCUUUAGUAAGGGAGUUCAGAUAUUAGCAUUCUCCUUUUAUGGCUUUUGAACCAAGCAAAAGUUAUAGUAUAACCUUACACUCCUUUGCCUUUUAUGAAAUUGAGAGAUCACUAAGUUGCUUAUUGUCAAGGAUGGUUAACCUUUUCACUUAUCAUAUAAACAAUUACAGGCUUCAAAUUCAUACAGCUCAAGUCUUGUUUCAUGCAUCACAUUCAGAAUCUUCAGAGAAUUGAUGAAAAACAAAGGUAAACAUCAUGUGAUCGUUUACCUUAAUAUAUUGUCUAAGGUACCUGUCAAGAAAGAGGUAUUUCUUUUAAAAUUGAUAUAUUCAAUACUGUCAGGAAUAAUGCAACUCUCAUGUUCUGUUCCGAAUUCAUGUAUCACCUGUCUGUGCCGAUAAAAGCUGUUAACAUUCUUAGCAAUCUAUUUGGUGAAACUAAGAACUGGUCUGAUAAUAUCUAGAGUGCUCUAAUUUCUAACAGGAGAUGAAAAGAAGUCCACUUUUGAUUUAUUAAGAAGAAUAUUACACAAAAGAAUAAUAGGACUUGAAUUUGCAUUAUGAGGGAAUUGAUUCCUUGGUGGAAAACUUUGUUACAGUUUUUUCCCCUUUAGAACCUGGACCAUGUUCCACCUUAACGACAUUAGCCUUCAUGUCAGGCAGUUGCUUGCACGGGCCAUAUGGAUGGCAAAUACUCAUUUUAUGUUUGUGUGCAUCCAAAUCAUCUCGAAGGUCCAUCGAUCUUAGCAAGACCACACACGGUGAAAUAACCCCACCUUUCACAUAACAUCUUCCCCUCAUAACACCUACUAGAAGUGGAUACAGAACAAAGAAUAAUAUUUUAGUAGAAUAAAGGACCGAGAUCGGGUAAGGAGGGGCGUUAUUGGAUUUCUGCAGGAAAAUAUGUUUCACAUGCAUGAAUAUGACAGUUUAAAUUUUUAGAGAGUUACCUCUACAGUCAAGAAGGAAGGAAAGUAAGAGGUUUAUCCAAUAAUUUUUAGGAAAAUUUGUGCUGUAUUGUGGAAUCCCAUUUAAGGAAACUGUCUGAAGCUUACAACAGAUCAAAAAGAAAACUUUGGUCCCCAUUAAUGAGUUCUUCCAACUAUAUAUACCUCCACAAACCAUUCAUUAAAAAUUACCACCUCCAGCAAACCAUUUCUCGAGCUUCAAGUUUACGUCUAGUUGAGAAGCUCAGUUCUUCACAAGGUGAGGCAUCGAUGAUUUAUUUUCCUUCUGCAGUUCAUUUCAUUAUCAUUCAGUCUUGAAUCCAAGUUUUUCAAACAAACUAGGCCUUUAAAUACAAGAAAAAUGUGCCGCAAUUUUUUUUUCCUAGAAUGAAAUAACUGUUCAUGUGUAAGCAAUGCAGUUCUAGCAUAUAGAACUGAGACCUUGUUUAACUAUAACCAUGCCUAAAAUGAGGCCUGAAAGAUGGAUAACCAAUACGAUUUAAUGGCCUAUUUGACUUCCCACAUGAAAAUUUGUUCUCAUCAUCUUUUCAUGUUUGCUUUCAGUUUGACAUAAAAUGAGCAGUGGAGAUUGGAUGUGUGCUGCAUGCCAACACAUAAAUUUCAAGAAAAGGGAUGCAUGCCAACGAUGCAGCUGCCCUAAAUAUGCAACGCCGGCUGAUGUUGCCAUGUAUGGACUAAACAAAACAGAAGUCUUAGCCGGAGACUGGUAUUGCAGUGCCAUGAACUGUGGUUCUCACAACUAUGCGAGUCGAACAAACUGCUAUAGAUGUGGUGCCUUAAAAACUGAUUAUUAUGGUAUCGGGGCACUCACAACUAUGCAAGUCGAACAAACUGCUAUAGAUGUGGUGCCUUAAAAAGCGAUUAUUAUGGUAUCGGGGCAGGAAUGAUGGCAUCAACAGGUUAUGGAUAUGAUGCAAGUUCUAUUCCUGGUUGGAAGAGUGGUGAUUGGAUUUGCAGCAGGUUAGUUCACAUAACAACACCUAUGCCUCAAUCCCGAGCAAGAUAGGCUUAACUAUAUAUAUCCUAAAUGUUCGUAUCGCUCCAAUUAAGCUUAUCUGUGUCCAAUAUUUCAAUAACAACAACACCUAUGCCUCAAUCAGAGAGGCAAAACGGGGUCGGCUAUAUGAAUCUUCACUAAUCAUGUCGCUGCAUUUAAACUUAUUUCAAACAAAUAUAAAUACAAAAUACAAUUGAAAAGCACUAGAAGUUCACUAUAUUUUCUACUGCCAUAUAUAUCUCUGAUAAGACUAGGACUCCUAGAAAACAUUGUAGUGUGAGGGUUCAAAACAAGAUUGACUAGUUUUAUGCUGACUGUUAGCCUGCAACGGCUCUCCUUCUUUGGGAUUUUAACUGAAAUAACUGCCUUGUUGUUUGACAGAUUAGGGUGUGGUGUACACAACUAUGCAAGCAGAGCAGAAUGUUAUAAAUGCAAGACACCUAGGGAUUUUGGUGAGACAUCUUCCAUGUGAUUCUUAGACAAGAGGGGUUGCUCUGAUGGUAAGCAACCCCACUUCCAACCAAUAGGUUGUGAGUUCGAGUCUCCCCAAGAGCAAGGUGGGAAGUUCU